AUUGAACGCUGGCGGCAGGCCUAACACAUGCAAGUCGGACGGUAGCACAGAGGAGCUUGCUCUUCGGGUGACGAGUGGCGGACGGGUGAGUAAUGUCUGGGGAUCUGCCCGAUAGAGGGGGAUAACCACUGGAAACGGUGGCUAAUACCGCAUAACGUCGCAAGACCAAAGAGGGGGACCUUCGGGCCUCUCACUAUCGGAUGAACCCAGAUGGGAUUAGCUAGUAGGCGGGGUAACGGCCCACCUAGGCGACGAUCCCUAGCUGGUCUGAGAGGAUGACCGGCCACACUGGAACUGAAACACGGUCCAGACUCCUACGGGAGGCAGCAGUGGGGAAUAUUGAACAAUGGGCGCAAGGCUAAUGCAGACAUGCCGCGUGUAUGAAGAAGGCCUUCGGGUUGUAAAGUACUUUCAGCGGGGAGGAAGGCGAUGUGGUUAAUAACCGCGUCGAUUGACGUUACCCGCAGAAGAAGCACCGGCUAACUCCGUGCCAGCAGCCGCCGUAA
rnacentral:rRNA from 1 species